ensembl:lncRNA
GUAGAGACAGGUGGAGAAGUGGAGAGGUAGAGACAGGUGGAGAAGUAGAGAGGUAGAGACAGGUGGAGAGGUAGAGACAGGUGGAGAAGUAGAGAGGUAGAGACAGGUGGAGAAGUAGAGAGGUAGAGACAGGUGGAGAGGUAGAGAGGUAGAGACAGGUGGAGAAGUAGAGAGGUAGAGACAGGUGGAGAGGUAGAGAGGUAGAGACAGGUGGAGAAGUAGAGAGGUAGAGACAGGUAGAGAGGUAGAGAGGUGGAGAGGUAGAGAGGUAGAGACAGGUGGAGAGGUAGAGAGGUAGAGACAGGUGGAGAGGUAGAGAGGUAGAGAGGUAGAGACAUGUGUUGAGGUAGAGACAGGUGGAGAGGUAGAGACAGGUUAGAGGUAGAGACAGGUGGACAGGUAGAGACAGGUGGAGAGAUAGAGAGGUAGAGACAGGUGGAGAGGUAGAGAGGUAGAGACAGGUAGAGACAGGUGGACAGGUAGAGAGGUAGAGAGGUAGAGACAGGUAGAGAGGUAGAGACAGGUAGAGACAGGUAGAGACAGGUGGAGAGGUGGAGAGGUAGAGAGGUAGAGACAGGUAGAGACAGGUAGAGAGGUAGACAGGUAAGAGUGGUAGAGACCGGUAGAGACAGGUUGAGAG